CGCGGGGUGGAGAAGCUUGGUAUCUCGUCGGGCUCAUAACCCGAAGGUCGCAGGUUCAAAUCCUGCCCCCGCUACCA
rnacentral:tRNA from 1 species